GAGUGCAGACAGGCAGAGGGGGCGUUGAGAGGCCGCUAGAGAGCAGCCAGUGUCUGCUGCUCACUCAGAGCUGUGUGUGUUUCUGGCUGGCUGAGAGGAAACUGAUCGUGGCACACAGAGAGAGCAGAGAUGUAGAGAGAGUAGCUCUCUGGGACUCCUCCGUUGUGGCACAGCCGUCUGUCACUUUUUACCAGAGGAUCAUUUUAUCCGACAUUUACCUGCGGAAUAUGGGAAGGACCGGCUUUCUUUCUUCGCACAGCUCCACACUGCACGGACGUGUCGCGUAAUGCGGCCGAGAAGAGCUGCCUUUCUGGGGGGAGAUCUUUAUGUUUUCGGGACGGUUUUGUUGGGAGUAAUUGGCUAGUUGCUAGCUGCUGGGCUAGUGCUGGCUAUUUUGUUAAGGAUGCUACGGUGGAUACGACAACAGCUGGGCUUUGACCCCCCUCAUCAGAGUGACACCAGGACGGUUUAUGUAGCAAACCGUUUCCCCGAGCAUGGUCACUACGUACCGCAACGCUUUGCUGACAACAGAAUCAUCUCCUCCAAGUACACAGUUUGGAAUUUUGUCCCCAAGAAUCUGUUUGAGCAGUUCAGAAGGAUAGCCAACUUCUAUUUUCUCAUUAUCUUCCUUGUACAGUUAAUGAUAGACACCCCAACUUCCCCAGUCACCAGCGGCCUGCCUCUUUUCUUUGUGAUCACAGUAACUGCCAUAAAACAGGGCUACGAGGACUGGCUGAGACACAAGGCAGACAACGAGGUGAAUGGAGCUCCAGUGUUUGUGGUUCGCAGUGGGAGUCUGGUCCAGACGAAAUCCAAGAACAUCAGGGUGGGGGACAUUGUUCGUGUGGCUAAAGAUGAGACGUUCCCAGCUGACCUGGCGUUGCUGUCGUCAGAUCGUGCAGAUGGCACCUGUCACAUCACCACAGCCAGCCUGGAUGGAGAGACCAACCUUAAGACUCACUUCUCUGUGGCGGAGACAGCAGUGUGUCAGUCGGUGUCCCAGCUGGAGGCUCUGCAGGCUGUGGUGGAGUGUCAACAACCGGAAGCUGACCUGUACAGGUUUGUCGGUCGCAUUACGGUGACUCAGCACGAAGAGGAGAUAGUCAGACCGCUGGGUCCAGAGAGUUUGCUGCUGCGAGGAGCCAGGUUGAAAAAUACCAAAGAGAUUUUUGGUGUGGCAGUUUACACAGGGAUGGAGUCCAAGAUGGCCCUCAACUAUAAGUGCAAGUCCCAGAAACGCUCUGCAGUAGAGAAGUCCAUGAAUACCUUCCUACUCAUCUACCUGGGCAUCUUGCUGUUUGAGGCCGUCCUCAGCACCAUCUUGAAGUAUGCCUGGCAGGCUGAAAACAAAUGGGACGAGCCUUUCUACAACCAAAAGACUGAACAGGAGAGAAACAGCAGUCCGAUCUUGAAGUUCAUCUCAGACUUCUUGGCAUUUCUGGUCCUCUAUAACUUCAUCAUCCCCAUCUCGCUCUACGUUACUGUGGAGAUGCAGAAGUUCCUGGGCUCUUUUUUCAUUGGCUGGGAUUUAGACCUCUACCACGAGGAGAGCGACCAGAAAGCUCAGGUCAACACCUCUGACCUCAAUGAGGAGCUGGGACAGGUGGAGUAUGUGUUUACAGAUAAGACGGGCACGCUAACGGAAAACGAGAUGGAGUUCCGUGAGUGUUCAAUUAAUGGAACCAAGUACCGGGAAGUUAACGGCAAACUGGUACCAGAGGGAAUGACUGACGAUUCACCAGAUGGUUCUACGCCUCAACUGACUGGUGAGGAAUUGUUAUUUCUCAAGGCGGUGUCGUUGUGUCACACGGUUCAGAUCAGCUACGACCAGCCAGACUGCCUGGUUGGGGGAGGAGACCCGUUCUCCCAUGUAAACGGUUUCUCUUCCAAUGGAAUGGAAUACUACGCCUCUUCACCGGACGAGAAAGCUUUAGUAGAGGCAACAAAAAGGAUCGGAGUGGCCUUCACUCGCUGCCACGAAGAUACCAUGGUGAUCAAAACAUUUGGCAAGUCAGAGAAAUACAAACUGCUCCAUGUGUUAGAGUUUGAUGCCAACCGCAGGAGGAUGAGCGUCAUAUUGCAGACUCCUUCAGGAGGCCAAGUGCUGUUCACCAAGGGUGCAGAGUCUGCCAUUUUGCCUUUCACUACCAGUGGCGAGAUAGAAAAGACGAGACUGCACGUUGACGAGUUUGCCUUGAAAGGAUUGCGGACCUUGGUUGUAGCGUGUCGCCACUUCAGCCCAGAGGAAUACAUUGAGGUGGACAGGCAUCUGAACGCCGCCCGCACCGCGCUGCAGCAGAGGGAGGAGAGACUGCAGGAGGCCUUCAGUUUCAUCGAGAGAGAACUGAAUGUGCUGGGAGCAACGGGGGUUGAGGACAAACUCCAAGACAAAGUCCAGGAGACCAUUGAGGCUCUGCGGCUGGCAGGGAUCAAAGUAUGGGUGCUGACGGGGGAUAAACACGAGACGGCGGUCAGCGUCAGCCUGUCCUGUGGCCACUUCCACAGAACCAUGAACAUCCUGGAGCUUCUGCAACAACGAUCUGAUAACGAGUGUGCUGAGCAGCUCCGCAGGCUGGACAGGAGGAUAAAGGAGGACCACGUCAUACAGCACGGGUUAGUCGUGGACGGGGCCAGUCUGUCGUUAGCGUUGAGGGAACACGAGAAGCUCUUUAUGGAAGUGUGUAAAAACUGUUCAGCUGUGCUGUGCUGCCGCAUGGCCCCGCUGCAGAAAGCUAAGGUGGUGCGCCUUUUAAAAACCUCCCCAGAGAAACCCAUCACUCUAGCUAUUGGGGAUGGAGCCAAUGAUGUCAGUAUGAUACAGGAAGCUCAUGUGGGCAUAGGUAUCAUGGGGAAAGAGGGUCGUCAGGCCGUGAGAAACAGUGACUAUGCAAUUGCCAGGUUUAAGUUCCUGGCUAAACUUCUGCUGGUCCACGGUCACUUCUACUACAUUCGAAUAGCUACCCUUGUACAGUACUUUUUCUACAAGAAUGUGUGUUUUAUCACGCCCCAGUUUUUAUACCAGUUCUUCUGUCUGUUUUCACAACAAACUCUGUAUGACAGUGUUUAUCUGACACUGUACAACAUCUGCUUCACCUCGCUGCCCAUCCUGGUGUACAGUCUGUUUGAACAGCUGGUCCAUCCACACGUACUGCAGAAUAAACCCGGCCUGUACAGGGACAUCAGUAAGAACUCUCUGCUGUCUUUCCGGACGUUCCUGUACUGGACUCUGUUGGGCUUCUGUCACGCCUUCGUCUUCUUCUUUGGAUCCUACAUACUGAUGGGAGAGGACACCACACUUAUGGGGAAUGGACAGAUCUUGCGAGCUAACAGGCAGCUGAUGUUUGGGAACUGGACAUUUGGAACGCUGGUCUUUACUGUCAUGGUCAUCACAGUUACAUUAAAGCUCGCUUUAGAGACUCAUUUCUGGACGUGGAUGAACCAUUUUGUGACGUGGGGUUCGAUUGCCUUCUACUUCAUCUUCUCUCUCUUCUAUGGAGGCAUUAUCUGGCCGUUCCUCCACACCCAGGACAUGUACUUUGUAUUCGUACAGCUGCUGUCCAGCGGUUCAGCCUGGUUUGCCAUCAUCAUCAUUGUCAUAACUUGCCUCUUUCCUGAUGUGGUGAAGAAGGUCUUCUAUCGACAUCUGCAGCCCACCAGCACACAGAAGAGUCAGAUGUAUACCAACCGUGUGGCGAUAGGUGAUGACUUCAUCGCUCUGCAGCCUCUGUCCAGAGCCAAGAGCCAGCUGGGCAAAAUUAGUCUGUAUCAGCCCCCGAGAGCCUCAGCUGUGUGGAGUCCCUGUGCUGCUACCAACAAGGGCAGAGCGGCUGUUCCCGCCUGGCCCGCCUCCUGGAGCAAAUAACCGGGCGAUGCCAGGCCAGCGCCAACCAUUGCCACGCAUCGAGCUGCAGCAACAGCCUGGUUGGGUAGCUUGUAAUCACAAACCUCCGGACAACAGUGUGGUAGCUCCCACCGUUCCCCACCCCCCACCACCACACCCACACCCAAACACACACACACACACACACACCAUCAGUCUCCUAACCCUCAGUCACCUAACCCUCAGUCACUGCUGCCUGUUUUCAGGUCUUGGAGCGACACGGAGAACUUCUACUCCAACGAUCGCAGCAUCCUGACGCUGUCGCCUAUCGAGGCCACCCACUGCUGAUUCCCAGGGCCGCUGACUGUAACACACAGAGCUCGGGGAGAGCUUCUACUCCGCAUAAUCACCCCCCCCACCCAGCCUCCCACCCACCCACCAUUUAUAAAACCUACUUCAAUUUAAGCUCAAUGCUUUCUCAGCUCGAUGCAACACAGAUGUGAAACCAAAGGACUCGGCUCGGUGCAGUAGGCUGCUUUAUCCUUCACCGCUUUGUUUUCCCAGAGUGAAUCAAUUCUUGAUAGAAAGGUUGAGAAGGACGUCAGAUGGGAGCUGCAACAUGGAAGGAAAUAAAACAUGAAGUGUGAAGCAACUCAGCAUGGCAUGAAGCACACAUCUGUGGAGCUACUUCUGUAGGAAGAUCCAGUCAGCAUCUGAACAACAACACUUAUCAGAUUGCUGCUGCGUAUAGGGUGUCUGCAAGUCCUGCAAACAUCAUAUUUAAAUUCAGGACCUUUUUGUAAAAGUUUAAGACGUGUCGGCUCACAGGUGCUGCCCUCUGAGAUCAGCCCGGGUACAUGGACUCUCAUGCAGCUAUUUAUUUUUUCAUUUCCAGCACAGUUGCCAAACUUAGUUUGUCUUGCAACUAAUAUUAAAAAUAACCUUUUAAGUCUUACAUAUACACAGAAUGAAGAUUCCUGACGAUCUGGAUUUUUUGCUAGCUGAUGUCAGGCAGCAGUCCUGCUCGAAGCAUUGUAGCCUAAGGACUGUAACCUAACCGAGACGGUUUGGGCACGCUGAUUAACCUCAACACAGGACUGAGGAGGCUUAUAGACACCAGCCACCAGGAUCGUCCAUGUAGCACCGCAAACUCAGACUACAUGAGUACAUCUCAGAGGUGCCGGCUAGCAGCCCGACAUCAUGUUGCUUCCAUAAACUGCUGCAUAAACUUCCUCUUUGAGCUGCCGGCCCCGCUGCACCUUUGUUUCUCAUUCAGACGGAAAGGGAAAAAGCUAGACUCCCUGUAGCUUUCAGAGCCUUACUGGUUCUGUUAACGUCUAGACUUAUUUCCUUAGGACCUACAGUACUCCUUCGAUACUGUACGAGGAGAUUCAUCUCUACCCUGUAACCAAAGACCAAAGGAUUCAGACUGGAGUUUAAAGGAAAAACUGUUUAUUUUUGUGCCUCAUUGUACAGAAGCUUAUAUCGUUGUUAAGAAGACUAUUAUUAUUGUCCGUGCUGCUUUCUCGCCUGACUGUUAAGGCCUCUGUCUCCCUGGUGCGUGGCUCUGAAGGAGGCCGGACGGUGUCUGUUUAAAAAGCCAUACAUUUUCAAGAGGUUAUAUUAUUGAUGGAUUAUUGAAGGUACUGCAGAUGGAAGCUGUUUGAGCCUGUUGAAGUUACUUUGUGUUUGGAAACUUGUUCCCCUUGAAUGCCUUUUCUCAUUCAGCCGGGUUAGCGGAGGCAUCUCAGCAUUAGAGGGCGUGAUGCUCAGGGAAUAUUUUAAGGUAACAGGAUCAGUGUUGAAGGCUGACUUAAUGAGGUUUUAUAGGUAGAACCAUCCCUCUCAGCUGCCUAAAAAUAUUACCCGAGUAUCAGAUCAGAUAAUGGCACCAUUUUUUUAUUUCAGCGAGACAAAAAUGGCUCUAAUGGCGAGAUGCUUUCCCAAAUCACGGCUGAUGCAUGUCGACCCAGACAGCAGAAUGUCUCUAUCUUUAGAGAGAUAGCUAUAUCGGAUAAAAUAUAAUUCAGCUUCUGCAGAGGUGAAAAGAAAAGCAGAGCGUUUGCACAAGUCACAUAUCAAAAAUCACAAUUUUGUUGUUUCUCACUUCAUUGCUCGUCUGUCAUCAUUGAAAUCACCUGAAUCAUGUUUUUGCUGUUAAGUUGUUCUAUCCACCUGUUGAUGAAGUGUUUGUGUGUGCGUGUGUGUUUCUAUGGCAGCCAUGGUGGUUGAAGGAAGUACGGUACGUAGCCCUGGUGUAAGCUCUUUGUACGAUCUCAUUGGCCGCAUGCUGUCCGCAGGUCAAAGGUCAAAUGUUUCUCUUUGAUGCUCGGUUUGACCUCUCUUCUUCUCCCAAAAAAGUGAAAUGAGUAAAAGGUUCUUAUUUGUAGGAGAGUUCAGUUGACUCCAGAAGUGUAAUGUAGAAGCGUUUCAAGACAACCGUUUUAAACUUGACAUCAACAAUAACCACACAACAAUGACCAGUACACGCCUCGGCUCACACAGGUGGACAUACAGAGUCAUGGGAUGUUUCUGUCGCUACGGUUACCGUUUGAAGAAAUCAGAAAGUCAAUAAUGUUUUUGUCAAUCGAUUCAUUGAAUAUUCUUGAUGUUUAUUUUCUAUAUGGUACACAUUGUUUGAUGCACACCUGGGCCUGUUAUAUCCUUUCUGUUCACACAGGUGCAACUGACAAUGAAAGUGUCUAUUUAUUAUUGCGGUACUUUUUUUUUUUUUCCUGUGUUUGUGUUCUUACAUAUCAAUAUAACGUGUGUCCUGUGCUGUACAUGACUUGAAUGCAGCAACUUUCCACAAUGUUUUACUGGAUCUUAGACAAGAAGUCAGGAGGUUGAACCUCUAUCCACGCUCUUUAUAAUGUUUGACCUGAAAGGUGACAGUGCAGCUGUCAGCCUGAAAUAAACAGGAUGUUAGUAUGUUACAGGAUAUUUAAACGAGCAAAGGGACACUUCCAGUUACAUCACUCCAAUUUACGACCCAACAGAUAAUAAUCAGGCCACAUUUACAAAGGAUUUUUUUUUUCUUUUUAAACAUUUGAGUUCAUAUCUGCUUGAAAUGUCUACCUGGAUACACCUAUGAUAUCUAAUCUGCACCUGGGGUUAAGAAAAAUAUAUGUUAAUGCUGUUUAAAAAGGGCACUUCACCAGUUUUACACAUGAAGGUCAGUUUAAUCAUCAUGGAGAGCGCUACUCAGCCUGUGAAAAUAGUUUUCUAAUGUCCUCUGUGGCUCUGAAGGGAGCUUUCUGAAGUCUGAGAAAUCAGACAAAAGAGUUCUUGAGACUUCAAAAAUGUGACAGAAAAAACCUUAAAAUCGGGUUAUAUUGGCUUCUGCUGCAUUUAUUUUGACCAUUUGUGUAUAUAAGUGCAGUGCUAAAUCCAGGAGUAUCCGUUAAAGGGUCAAAUUUGAUGCAGUAGAGACAGAGAUAUCCUGACUUAGACAAAAAACAAAAGUUGGACAACCCUCCUCUGUGGAAUCAGCAAUAAACUCCAGAGGAGGGAAGACGAGUCCUUCCUGGCCAAAGGCCGAAACACCUGAAGUGUUAGUGCAGUUCUGAUGCCCCCUUGUGCUCAUCUACGGAGACCCAAAGUGUACAAAAUUCAAUUAUUAUUACAGCUAUAAUAAUAAUAAAAUACAAACAAAUAAGCAAUUGCUGUUUUCCAAGAUAAGCAACAGUCAUCUUAAUUGAUGGAGAGAGUUGGUGAUACUUUUUUAUGAAAUAAAAAUGACCUGUAAUAAAACUCUUAUUUUGAAAAGAAACAGGGUGAAGUAUCAUUUAAUAGUAAUGAGCUGAGUUUUAAAAAUCUGUAGAAUUAUUUCACUUUUAUUUGUUACAUAUUUUGUGUAUCCAGGUACAGAUUUUUCUUUUCUUUUCUUUUUUUUUUACAUAUGAAAUGUAAUUGGGUUCCAAGUUGCACUCAAGAGAUAUCUUUGCUACGGUCUAUGCAGGAAACAGAUGCUAUAUUUUUUUAAGAUCAGAUGUGACAUUAGUAACGAGACCUGAUUCUGUAAAGCAUCAAAGCACUGACGUCAUCUAAGCUUCAUUACAAGAGAGCAGCAGGGUUUGGAUACGAGGCAUCUGGGGUAUUUCUAGAAGCAGAUUACUGAGCCACAUAAUUCAAAGAAUUGUCAUUUAAUAUUUUAUUAAGCCUCGACUACAAAUGAUGAUCAUGACAUCCAUCAGAAGCACCAUCCAAGUUUAAUUGGAUGCCUCAUUUAGAGCUGUUACAUGCAGUCUACGGAUGUAGUUUAAACCAAGUAUUCCUGCUUCUGGAAAUAUCUGCCAUAUAUUGAAUGUGUGUAGACCAAAUGAAAAUGGAAAUAUGUCUUUGUUCAGUUUUUUUACAUACAAGUAACAUAAUUAUCCACAAAUUUAUGGUCAUAAUUACCAUAAAUUGUACGAAGGAUCAAACAAAUUCAAAUUAUGUCAGGGAAUUUUGCAGGAAAAAAAAGUUUGGAAUUGAAACAUUUAGAAAAUGCUGUCAGUGCAGAGAUGCUCACGGUAAACUCAGUUUGCAGACUUGAAUCAAAUUAUGGUCUCCUUGAUCAAAUAAGCUAAAAAGAGGAAUCUAAAUUAAAAUGUCAACCGAUACGUUUUCUCCUGCAGAAUGUGCUGUGACUCAGCAUCAGCCAGUGCGACACGAGGCUGCAGAUCAGUGCUGGACGGUUUAUUGAAAUAAUAAUUUGUAUUUUUUAUUUAUUCCUCUCAUCGGUAAAUCAUGCUGCACCGCACUAUUAAUAAACCACCAUCAUCACUCUUCUGUUGACUGAUAUCUGUUGCUGUCUGUCUGUCCUCCCUCGUCCUCCUGUCUGUAAAUCUGUCUUAUAGCUGAUGUUUAUGAAGAUGCGGUUCUAUUUACGAAAUAAAUACAUUUUUAAGAAACA